rnacentral:tRNA from 1 species
GUUGUGGCUCAGUGGCAGAGUGCUUGCCUUGCAUGCAUGAGGCCCUGGGUUUGAUUCUCAGUACUACA